UGCUUCCCGUCAGCAAUGGCAAAACUACCUUGUGAUAUAUUUGCACGGACGCUUCUUGCAUGGCAGAAAUAUAUGUGCUAAAUUCUGUUUCAUGUGUAAAUAUUACGCAGUUUAGUCGCACUCUAUAUUAAAAUUGUACGCAAGGUGAAAUAUUUUUUUUAAGGAG
rnacentral:sRNA from 12 species